UACGAAGGGGGCUAGCGUUGCUCGGAAUUACUGGGCGUAAAGCGCACGUAGGCGGAUUGUUAAGUCGGGGGUGAAAUCCUGGAGCUCAACUCCAGAACUGCCUUCGAUACUGGCGAUCUCGAGUUCGGGAGAGGGUGAGUGGAACUGCGGAGUGUAGAGGUGAAAUUCGUAGAUAUUCGCAAGAACACCAGUGGCGAAGGCGGCUCACUGGCCCGGUACUGACGCUGGAGGCGCGGAAAGCGUGGGGAGCAAACAGG
rnacentral:rRNA from 1 species